rnacentral:rRNA from 1 species
AUACGGAGGGUGCAAGCGUUACUCGGAAUCACUGGGCGUAAAGCGCGCGCAGGCGGGCUGAUAAGUUGGAUGUGAAAGCCUACGGCUCAACCGUAGAACUGCAUCCAAAACUGUCAGUCUAGAGUCUGAGAGGGGAAGAUGGAAUUAGUUGUGUAGGGGUAAAAUCCGUAGAGAUAACUAGGAAUACCAAAAGCGAAGGCGAUCUUCUGGAACAGUACUGACGCUGAGGCGCGAAAGCGUGGGGAGCAAACAGGAUUAGAAACCCCAGUAGUCC